rnacentral:rRNA from 1 species
AUUGAACGCUGGCGGCAGGCCUAACACAUGCAAGUCGAACGAGUGGCGGACGGGUGAGGAAUGUCUGGGAAACUGCCGGAUGGAGGGGGAUAACUACUGGAAACGGGAGCUAAUACCGCAUACCAUCAGAUGGGCCCAGAUGGGAUUAGCUUGUGGGUGGGGUAACGUCUCACCAAGGCGACGAUCCCUAGCUGGUCUGCGAGGAUGACCAGCUACACUGGAACUGAGACACGGUCCAGACUCCUACGGGAGGCAGCGGUGGGGAAUCUUGCACAAUGGGCGCAAGCCUUAUGCAGCCAUGCCGCGUGUAUGAAGAAGUCCUUCGGGUUGUACAGUACUUUCAGCGGGGAGGCGUUACCCGCAGAAGAAGCACCGGCUAACUCCGUGCCAGCAGCCGCGGUAAUUC